AGCGAACGCUGGCGGUAGGCCUAACACAUGCAAGUCGAACGGCAGCACAGUAAUAGCUUGCCCUUACGGGUGGAGAGUGGCGGACGGCUGAGGUAAACAUCGGUAUCUAUUUUUUCGUCUGGGAUAAAGUAGGGCUACUUCCGCUAAUACCGCAUACGACCUACGGGGGAAAGCAGGGGAUCUUCGGACCUUGCGCGAUUGAAUGAGCCGAUGUCGGAUUAGCUGGUUGGCGGGGUAACGGCCCACUAAGGCGACGGUCCGUAGCUGGUGUGAGAGGAUGAACAGGGACACUGGAAGUGAGACACGGCCCAGACACCUAGGGGAGGCAGCAGUUGGUAAUAGUGGACAAUGUGCGCAAUCCUGAUCCAGGCAUACAGCGUUGGUGAAGAAGGCCUUCGGGUUGGAAAACCGUCUUGUUGGUAAAGAAAAGCAUCAGGUGAAGACCCGGCUGUGGUGACGGUACCCAAAGAAGAAGCACCGGCUAACUUCGUG
rnacentral:rRNA from 1 species